UACGUAGGCAGCGAGCGUUGUUCGGAAUUACUGGGCGUAAAGAGUGUGUAGGCGGUGCUCUAAGUUCGGUGUGAAGUCUCCUGGCUCAACCGGGAGGGUGCGCCGGAAACUGGAGUGCUUGAGCGUGGGAGAGGAAAGCGGAAUUCCUGGUGUAGCGGUGAAAUGCGUAGAUAUCAGGAGGAACACCUGUGGUGUAGACGGCUUUCUGGACCAUAGCUGACGCUGAGACACGAAAGCGUGGGUAGCAAACAGG
rnacentral:rRNA from 1 species